UCAACUUCAUACACCAAUGAAUCAAAUGCUUUUUUGCGUUGCGUAGAAUCUAUUUAUCGCAACAUCUUGGACACAUUGCUCCUUCCGAACACUUUGUGUACGACUUUGAAAUUUUACGGGUUGUCCGGUGGAAAGAACGGAGCCAAUUCGCAGGAUGAGUUGCACCUUCGAUAUAGAUGCUUGCAUGCCACACAUAGAUACAUAAUAACUCUUACCACUACUGCAAAUUAAAUUAUCAAAUCGGAUUAUUCAAUUCAUUCAAUAAUACGAACAAAACUCUUCUACAUGGGUUGAGAAAAGGAGGCACACCGAAUUAACAUCACCAAUGAGUUUCUCCCUUAAAGGAGAUGUUCGAGAUAUAGUCGCCUAUGAGUUUCGUCCUAAAAAAAGACAUUACAAAUAAACAUCGCCAAUGAAGUUCUCCCUCAAAGGAGAUGUCAAAGGUGUAGUCGCCUAUCAGUUUCACGCCAUCAAUGGAGACACAUUGUGUGGUAAUCACCAAUGAGUUUCGCCCUCAAAGGAGACACAUCGUAACAUCACCAAUGAGUUUCGCCCUCAAAGGAGAUGUACGAGGUGUAGUCGCCUAUUAGUUUUGCCCUCAAUGGAGACACGUUGUGUGAUAGUCGCCAAUGAGUUUCACCCUCAAAGGAGACACAACGAAUUAACAUCGCCAAUAUGUUUUUUCUCUCAACAGGGAUCAAAGAUUGUCUCGUCCAAAUGACGAGAUGAGCUUUCUUGAAAAAAUGAAUUAAAUUUGAUAAACUUGCCAAAGGAAGAAGUAUGCUAUCCAAGAUAACGAUUUUCAUUUAAGACGAAUAAAAUUUCAAAAAAUAAAUCACAAAUGAACUGUUGCAGGUUGAUUAGUCCUACAUUUAAAAAAGCAUCACAAGUGAAAUAGAACUUUGAGCAAGUUAAACAACAUAAAUUAAUAAAACUUGUUGAUUGCAAAUAGGGGUGCCGCCACUGGCCCGUUAUACGAUUUUAAUCUCGAAUUAAUGUUGUGAAUAUUUUAGUAAUGUUAAAGUACAAAAGUAAGUAUUGUUUUUAUCGUCUCCACAAGGAGAGAUGCGAUAUUAGUGUCGUUCAACAAUUAAUAUUGUUUUAAGUAUAGAGAAAGAGUUUUGUUUAUAAACAUCCAAACUUACAAAGCAGAUAAAUUCAGGAAGAAAUAACAGGAGACAAGUUACUGGGAUUAUAUAUAGUUAACUACUCUUCUAAUGCAACCUCUUAAUCGAUUAUAUAUUUUACAAAUUUCAAUUAUAUUUUCAUCUAUUGCUCAUCGUACGUUUUCGUCCCCGGAUAACGGCGAUAUAUCUAAUCUACCUAUCCGAUCCCUCAGGUGAUUAAUCAAUCACAACAAGAAAAUAAUCAUAUACCGGCAGUCAAAUAGCGGCAGUUGCUCACCAACCGCAGCCGCUUCCACAUAUACCAGCAGUUUGGUAGCCGCCGCUCUUGUUCAUAUAAUACCGUCUGUUGGCUUAUAUCUAACACCGUCGGUUUGAAUCACCGCUGAUUGCUUAUAGUAGAUUUGGGAAAAACACUGCUACCUAAUCUACUUUCCCUUGUUUUUUUCUUCACUUUUCCCUCAUAUUUUUCAUUCUUUACCUCAUCCACAGAAGAAGCGUCAAAAUUGCUCCCGUCCUUUCGACGCCGUAGUUCCAUCCACAGUUGACGUUCCUCUCGUCGCCACCGCAGCUCCUCCUCAACACAGUGAGUGAUUCACUUCAAAUUCUGCUGGAGUUCCUGAUAAUCUCGUUCCUUUGCAAG